AAGUGAAGAGCUUCAGCUCUUUUUUCCCAAACUCAAAAGGAAUCACGUUGAAGUAAAGGGGAAAGGGGAAAGGGGGGGAAGAACACAAACCCUCAUUCAUAAUUCAAUCCUCCAUAACUUUUGAUCCGGAGCUCCGAUCGCUGCAUUGUUUGCGGUCACGCGUUCGUAGCGAUGAGCUCUACAAAACCUGAUACUAAAGUUGAUGUAGGUCCUGGUGCUCAGCAGCGAGCUGGAUUCAUCUGGAAGGCGACAAAGUUUAUUUGAUUCUGUGUUGUACUUUUAGAAUCUCUCCUUUUUAUUUUGAAAAACCUUUAAUAUAAAUUAUGUAAAUGUUUAAUUUGCAACUUGCCUAUAGAGGCGAUGAUGUAUCUUUGGGAAAGAUAGGAAAUACUGUUGUCAAUCUAAUAUUAAAUUUCUGUACCCUAGCCGGCCUAAACUUCGCGGGUCGCGACUAGUGGCUAUUUAUUUAUGUUAUCUA